AUGCAGCUAUAUAGAAAAAAAAACAAAUAUUAAAAUAGUAUAAAGUAAAUAACAAAUAUAAAUCACAUAAGAUUACACAAUUUUUUUUAAACACUGUCUACAAACAUUUUCCGAAGCGCACAGCAACAAAUCAAAGUCUAUUCUAUUUCCAUUUAGAAUGAUUCUACUCAGCGGAGAAUGCCUACCAAAGUUGCAGCGAUGAAAUUUAAUUGCAAAA
rnacentral:lncRNA from 1 species